rnacentral:rRNA from 1 species
ACGCGCGGAACCUUACCAGGUCUUGACAUCUCCUGACAACCCUAGAGAUAGGGCGUUCCCCUUCGGGGGACAGGAUGACAGGUGGUGCAUGGUUGUCGUCAGCUCGUGUCGUGAGAUGUUGGGUUAAGUCCCGCAACGAGCGCAACCCUUGAUCUUAGUUGCCAGCAUUCAGUUGGGCACUCUAAGGUGACUGCCGGUGACAAACCGGAGGAAGGUGGGGAUGACGUCAAAUCAUCAUGCCCCUUAUGACCUGGGCUACACACGUGCUACAAUGGAUGGUACAAAGGGCUGCAAGACCGCGAGGUUAAGCGAAUCCCAUAAAACCAUUCUCAGUUCGGAUUGCAGGCUGCAACUCGCCUGCAUGAAGCUGGAAUCGCUAGUAAUCGCGGAUCAGCAUGCCGCGGUGAAUACGUUCCCGGGCCUUGCACACACUGCCCGU